rnacentral:lncRNA from 1 species
UAACUGGCUUAUACUGGGAGGGACUGGGACGGACUGGGGUGAACUGGGAGGGGUUUGGGAGUUACUGGUUUAUACUGGGAUACACUGGGAUGGAAGUGGGAUCGAACUGGUUCGUACUGGGAUGCACUGAGAUGGGUUUUGGGGUUACUGGUUUAUACUGGGAGGCACUGGGGUGAACUGGGAUCAAACUGGGAGGGACUGGGAGGGAACUGGAAGGGGUUUGGGAGUUACUGGUUUAUACUGGGAUGGACUGGGGGGGGUUUCGGGGGUUACUGGUUUGUACUGGGAGGGACUGGAAGGGAACUGGGAAGAGGUUUGGCCUUACUGGGAUGCACUGGUUUAUACUGGGAGAGGAUUUGGGCUUCACUGGUUUGUACUGGUUUGUACUGGUUUGUACUGGGAGGCUCUGACUCUGCCCCUCCCCCCUCCCAGCGCGAGUGGGGGCGGAGCUUCUCCAGGGAGGACCAAUCGCAGCUGAGCUCCCAGUUCCUGCCCAACCAGGAGGCGGCGCUGGAGCCCCACCCCCAGAAGGUUUUCUGCGGGAUUUUCUCCGAGUGCGGCCGCAGGUUCCUGACGGCGUGUCAGGGUGAGCGACACGGAGCGGACCGGACCGGACCCGGACCAGCCCCCGACCCGGACCAGCCCCCGCCGUCCGCAACGGCAACACCCCAUAAUAACACCUCGAAAUAGCAUCCCGAAAUACCCCAAAAACAUACCAAAAUAUCCGGAAAUAUCCCAAAAUAUCCCCAAAAUAACAUCCCCCCCCCCCCCCCCCCCCCCCCCCCCCCCCCCCCCCCCCCCCCCCCCCCCCCCCCCCCCCCCCCCCCCCCCCCCCCCCCCCCCCCCCCCCC